CCAUGUGACCAGCUUACGCAACCAGGCCAAGGCUUUAUAUGCUGCCUAUAGAAACCGGACGCCCUCGGGGGGGAUCAUCACAGUGCAGGCGUGUGUCGGUGUAUCUGAGCAAAGACUGUUGUUGGACACAGGGGAGAACUGUUGCUGCUGCUGCUGCCACAUUCAGAGAAGACCGACGCCAAAGAGACACACAGGGCAAAGAAGCGAAGGGAUUAGCGGUGAUAAAGUCGCCUAGCAGGAAGCCCUGAGGACAAGUUUCAGAGGGGUUCGUAGUCUCAGCUGUGAAGCACUGGAAAGAGCAUCAACAAUGUUUUUUCGCAUCCCUCGACUGACCCCCGGAUAUAUUAGAUACCUGCAGACUCAGGCAGCCCAGACUGUGCUGCAGAGCCGGGAGGGCCCUGCCAUGCCGCGUAUGGCCAUGCUGCUGGGACUCAUGGGCAUCGGCUUGUCCGGCUACAGCUCCCGUCAACUCACUCUGCACUGCAAGCCAUCGGCUCACCUCUUAAGAUAAGACGGAUGGACCACAGGCACAUUUUUCUGCUCAAGUUUUUCGUGUUUUUUGGGUAAUAAGCUCAUCAUGACAGUUGUUUCUUGCCUCUUACCAGUUGCCAGGCAACCAGCGAAGUCUCGUGGACAGUUAGUGUCCAUCACAUAGUAAAAUGAAACUACUCAUGGAAAAAUAGUGAUGUGAAGUGAUGCUACCAGAUUCUAUGCUUCUGUUUAGUUUUUUCUUUGUGCAUCUCUGACAAUAAUUCCUUCCAUGUGGUUCAAGUUUAACACCAUCCAUGUUCUUGAUUAUUUAUCAUUUAUUGUGUUUCUUUUGACAAGAUUGUUGCCUUAAGGCUCUGCUAGUGCAGUAAAGAGUAAAAAAAAACCCUCCUUUUUCAAAACUACCUCUUCAUUUAAGCACUGUGCUUAAAUGUUUGUGAUUGAUGUGCAGUGAAGCAGAAAGGCAGCUUAUGAUGUUUCUACUGGUUGAUGCUGCACUUGAACCACGAUCCUUCUUAUCAUGGGAGUAUUCAGCGAGAAUGGGCCUCAAAAUUGCACUUAAAAAACUAUUUAAAAAUAUUUUUUCAGAUACACCAGCCGUCUGUAAAGACAAUAAACACAGAAAUCUCAUCCGAAAUCCUCAAUUUUUCAAUCACUGUUGCUUUUUCUCUGGUACUUUGGUGACUAUUGUGAGGAAAUCAGGGCUUUUUUGGGGGGAAACUGUGAGAGAUGGUCACAUCAGAAGCAUCUUCAACUCAGAGAAUCGGUGGAAACAAAGUUUUAAUUCUUGAUUCUGGAGUUGACAGCAUCAGAGUUUCUGAUAUCUCUCAACAAAAUUCCAGAGAAGCUAGAAAAAUCUGCUGGGCUGCUCUCACCUCCUUAGAAAUGCACAAAGAAAAGCACUCUUCAAACAGAAACAUACGAAAAGUGUAACCUCUGAGGUGUGGAAAAUGCUAUUUUGCACUUUUUUGUGUGUACAUAACUUGUAUAUAGUCAUGUACAUAUGGUUUGGAUGCUGAAUGAGAUUAGUAGUGCGUGACGUGGAGUGCUACCAGCUUGUGUUGUGAGCUGGACUGUUGUCAGGCAGAGCGACCAGGUCGGCCAUCCUGGUCGCCACCUGAACCAACGUGUGGAUCCACUCGGGUCUCUCCCAGUUGCACACCACCGUCAGACCAGAUGAACGUAGAUGAAUGACCGCAGAGGUCUCUUAACAUAGGUAGACUUUUCUGAUGUAUUGUGCACAAUUCUUUUGAAAGGAAAAAGGAACUUUGACAGCAUAUGAAUGUAUUUAAAGCAGUUAAACUGUAAUUGUUAGGAUGAUUGUGUCGUAACCUCCGGGACGGCUUGUGAACAGGUCAAGAUACAGCGAUCCUUAAAAAAAAAAAAAAAUCCUCUUACAAUGCACGUCUUUUUUAGAGCAGAUUAUGCUUACAUGCGAGAGAGGUCAGCGACCCUGAAAUGGAGACGUGGAAGAGGUGACAGAAAAAGAAGUGUGGUUAUUUAUGUCCUUGAACCUCUUGACUGGGAUUGUAACUGAACAAAGGAUUUCACUGGGAGUAGGAUAUUGAUAAUUGUACAUAAUAUUGUGUUGUUGUCAUUCAUUGUUGCUGCAAUUUCACUUUUUUAGCUCAUUUGUUUAUUAUUAGAACUCUUUGUGGAAUAAAGGCAUGAAAUGUCUUGAAUAUUGUCUGAGUUUCUAAUAAGUAAAUAAAAUGUGUUUGCCCGCUUUGUGUUCAAAUUAAUGUAUGUUUUCGGGCAUUUAUUUGUGCUAUGACUUCAUAUAGUUUGUGUAGUCAAAUUCAACUGUGAUCACUUUAUUCUGUAGGUUUCAAUAUGCGCAAUAAAGCAGAUUGUAACAUACGUUGUUUUCUGA